AGGGAGACUGUGUUAACUUUCGUCAGCCAAAACGGACAACACCAGAAACUGUUGAAGACGAAACACUUCAAGCAUCUGAGGCAGCUCAUUGUGUCCAGUGGACAACCUAACCAGGUCAAAGACUUGGUGGACUACCUGAUCAGCCAGAACUGUCAAGACGACGCUGACUCACUCGCUCGUGAGUACGUGAAACACCGGGACCAUCAAAGGGGGAGAACUCUGACAAACGGUUCACCUUCACCGAGCUGCCUGAAGGAGUUUCUCAAGCUGCAAAAUGGAGUUUCGGGGUAAACUGACACUAUUUCUGCAGCUGUAUUUAUGUAUUCUUACUUGGUCUGUCUUGGACUGAGAUGCAGUAUUUGCACUUAUCAUCUACAGUAUCUUUACAUUGUUGUGUACUCUUUGAAUAAAUUCUUUUCC